rnacentral:rRNA from 1 species
GACGGAGGAUGCAAGUGUUAUCCGGAAUCACUGGGCGUAAAGCGUCUGUAGGUGGUUUAAAAAGUCUACUGUUAAAGCUUGAAGCUUAACUUCAAAAAUGCCGUAGAAACUUUUAAACUUGAGUAUGGUAGGGGUAGAGGGAAUUUCCAGUGGAGCGGUGAAAUGCGUAGAUCUUGGAAAGACCACCAAUGGCGAAGGCACUCUACUGGGCCAUUACUGACACUAAGAGACGAAAGCUAGGGUAGCAAAUGGG